rnacentral:rRNA from 1 species
CCCGCACAAGCAGCGGAGCGUGUGGUUUAAUUCGAUGAUACACGAAGAACCUUACCAAGGUUUGACAUGCAAGUGGUAGUGAACUGAAAAGGGAACGACCCUUCGGGGAGCUUGCACAGGUGCUGCAUGGCUGUCGUCAGCUCAUGUCGUGAGAUGUUCGGUUAAGUCCGCUAACGAGCGCAACCCUCACUGUGUGUUAUACGUGUCACACGGGACCGCCGGUUUUAAGCCGGAGGAAGGUGGGAUGACGUCAAGUCAGCAUGGCCUUUAUAUCUUGGGCCACACACACGCUACAAUGGCCAGUACAAUGGGAUGCCAAGCCGCAAGGCGGAGCCAACCCUAAAAGCUGGUCUCAGUUCGGAUUGCAGGCUGCAACUCGCCUGCAUGAAGCCGGAGUUGCUAGUAACCGCAGGUCAGCUAUACUGCGGUGAAUACGUUCCCGGGCCUU